rnacentral:lncRNA from 1 species
CGCAGGCAUUCAGAUUUCUCCAAAGAAUAAUAUUACGUGAGGCAUUGCUUCUGUUCUAGGCUACAAUCCUAUCCCUACCUAUUAAAGAAUGGGAGAAUGAUCAGACCAAUAAAGUGUCUAGCAACUGGAUGUAGGAUAAGACAACACUCUGGAUCCUCCAUACUUGCAAAAUGAAUGAAUUAGAUAUGGACUUAAUUUUCUGUUUUCGGGCAAGGGGUGAAAGCCAUAAGAGAAGGUUACCCUAUCAGUAAGGAAGAGGGGGGGAAAGUGUUUCCAUCUAUCUCAAUCAAUUUGUCGAGGUGUUUGAAAUCCAGCCUGGCUCAAAGAAUUUAUCUUACUAUUCAACCCAUCGUUUUGUCAACAAAUAUCAUCUUUGAUAAUUUUCCAUUCCUUCCCUACCGAACCGCCUCUCUUUGCCAUUCGAUUCUUCUGCCUUUUGAACAAGUUAUUGCUCCUGGCUUGCAUUUUCUUUUGUAGCAACUUCAUCGGCCUACCACACUAGGCGUGCAAUCACUUGUUCGAACAUAGUAGGUUGCUAUACACUUAAGUGGUCUGAUCAUUCUUGUCAUCUUCUUAUUUUAUUGUAGCAAGAUUUAAUAGAGUAUGCAUAUGUGGUUUUUGUUAAAUUAGGUCUUGAACCUAACUCACACCCCAAAAGCUAGCUCAAAGGGAGGAGGAUUGCCCAAGCCUUAUAAGGAGUCCACCCAUCUCAUUAACCACCGAUGUGGCCUCUCUUUGCCAUUCGAUUCUUCUGCCUUUUGAACAAGUUAUUGCUCCUGGCUUGCAUUUUCUUUUGUAGCAACUUCAUCGGCCUACCACACUAGGCGUGCAAUCACUUGUUCGAACAUAGUAGGUUGCUAUACACUUAAGUGGUCUGAUCAUUCUUGUCAUCUUCUUAUUUUAUUGUAGCAAGAUUUAAUAGAGUAUGCAUAUGUGGUUUUUGUUAAAUUAGGUCUUGAACCUAACUCACACCCCAAAAGCUAGCUCAAAGGGAGGAGGAUUGCCCAAGCCUUAUAAGGAGUCAACUCAUCUCAUUAACCACCGAUGUGGGACUUUGUCAUUCUUUAACAUCUAUUGAAGGAUAUUUGAUGUUCACCAAUAGUUUAAAAAAAUGUCUUAGCUAGAAAAGUUAUAUUUUGUUUACAUUUUUAAGUAAAAUUUGAAUUGGAAAAGCAGGGAAUUGUUUGAUUCCAUUAGUGAUUGACAUUAUUCAUCGGCAUUUGUUAGGAUAUGCCUAAAGUGGCAUAUACUGAUUUGGGAGAUCAAAUUUCGGAGUAACUCGAAACAGGAAAAGCAAGAAAUUGUUCGAUUCCAUUAGUGUUUGACAAUAUUCAUCGACAUUCGCUCGGAAAUACCUAAUGUGGCAUCACUGGUUUGGGAGAUCAAAUUUCAAAAUUACUCGAACCAGGAAAAUCAAGAAUUUGUUUGAUAUCCUAUAAGUGCUCGACAAUAUUCAUCGGCAUUCAUUCGGACAAGCAUAUUAUGGCAUAAUGGUUGCAUAUCUGUGAAUUAUUUUAAGAUUUUUGGUCGUUAUAUCUAUAUUCGAUGAAGAACAAUAUGAUAGAAUUUUUGUUCUAAACAAUGACUUCAUUUUAGCUUAUUAUGUGCAUAUAUGUAUUUUCUCAUAUUACUUCUGCUAUUGGUGUCCGUGUAUAGCUAUGUAGUUUCAUUUAUUAUAGCUACUUGUGGGUCUAAAGUUCUUGAUUUAGAUUUUCUAAAAUGAUUUUUGCGUUGUUGAUGCAGAUAUUCUUCUUGAAAAAUGAAAAUCAAUUCAGAAGUAAAAGAAAACUCCUUAAUUUUGGUUAAGCAACGCACCGAGACUGUAAGUUACUUGCUUUGUUCUAUAUUUGUUUUUAUAAGAGACUAUUCCUCAUUUAACUCUCGAAACAAUAGUUACUUUGGUUUGUGAAUUUUGAAUAGUAUCAAUAGUAGAAUAUAGCAGCCCAACGGUGUUGAUUUUAGCUGUUCAUUUUGUCAAUAUCAUGUGCAUCCUUACUGCUAUUCAAAUUUCCUUUCCAGAGAUUACUUGAGUCACCUUUCAUGAGAAAGAGCUGUAUUGUUAAGGAAGGAUUCUAAAAAAAUACAAGCAUCAAAUUUUGUACACAAUGAACACUCGCAAACACUUAAACACGAUCAGUUGAGAUAGUGAAUUAUUUUUUACCAGCAUGCUUGCCUGACUUCUAAUCCAUUUCUUUAUACUUUUUAUGAUGUGUCGCACAUGUUGACAUUUGAAUAUGCUGAAGGUUCUUUUAUCAAAAAUGUGUUUCUCGAUGAAAGGCUUAAUUUGUGUCUUUGUGGGUUUAUUGGGCAGUAUUUACUGAUCAAAAAACUAUAUUACAGUUCCUUUUCCUUUUCUAUUUUUCCAUUUUCUCUCUUGGAAUAAGUAAGGGGUAUUCAUAUAGUGUGCAUAAAGUAGUUUGGAAUUGAUCAUAGUUCAUUACUUAUUUUUUUAAUUUAUAUCUUGCUUAAAUUAUAAUCAAUCAAACAAUGUUAAUGACCAUAAGUGUUUUCCACCCAUAAUUAGCGUCUCAUGUAAUUGGAUAUAAUCUUCAUACUAUCUGCAUUUUUUAGAUGGAUAUGGUACUUGUUGCAUAUAGAAAAUCCUCCAAACAAUCAAAAGAUGAUAAAAAGACUCUGAACACAAUUCAUUUGUAUGGUUAAGACUGUCUCAUCAGUAGAAUGGAAUGGACUAUUCCUAAAUCAACCUUAAUUUUUUCUUUAACCUUACUUUGAAAACUAAAUAUUUUUCAUGUUUCAUGCCCAUGGGUAUUAUUUUUCUUUGUUGUUACUUUUAGCUGUUGGAUUGAAAAUUUGAAAUCAUGUCCACCCUGAAAAAAACACUAUGUCUAGAAACUCUAGAUCAUUCAGUUUUCUGUAGCACGUAUGCACACUGUAUUGCUUAGUUGCUUUCUUUAAUAACCUAUUGAAUAAAUAUAAUGAUGAACUAUAUUCCAUUGGUGUAUACUCAUCCAGGAAAUAUGGUUUUGGCCUUGGUCGCAUAUGGUAUUCAUCUACUCUGAAAAUGGUCGAAGAGUGAUUCUAAUUUGACUGGCCAGGUAAAGGAGUUUAAGAAAAAGGCUUAAAUAUCUCUUGUGGGACACUUCUAUUGGCUAUAAGAAAAUGGCCUAUAAGUUUACGUUUGGCGGCUGACCAACAUGUUUAUGUUGUAACUAUGUCAAUCACAGAGUGGGAUGUUGUUGACCAACAAUCUGCCUAGCAGUGUUGUAGGAGCAUUUUCACCUUGCGUAGCUUUAAAAGAGUGGGAUGUUGUUGACCAACUUGUUGUUUAAUUUGUUCUUCCUAUGUUUUAUUGUCGAAGUUGAAGUAUAUGAAGAAUGACUUUUCUCUUGAGGUUAAUAUAUUUGCCCCCAUGAAAUUAUAGGUGCUUAGAUGGUUCUUACUUCUCACCAAGGCUAAUGAUUACAUCUCUUAUGCGUUACUGCCUGGUGAGAUGACUAUUUGGAGUAGAAACAUGCUCGACAACGGCUAAAAGUUUUACAUUAUGAUUUAUAUGCUUCUGUAGCAGGAGUAGAGGAUUGGAGGAAGAGUCUAAGGCAAGAUGCAUGCUCAUGCAAGUAGUUAUGAAGAAAUAUAUUCUAUUUGAACCUCUGAGGCUCUUGAGUCAAAAUGAUGAUUUGGUUGCAAUUGAAAAGAGCAGCGAAACUUUUGUAAAACCAAUUCCCUAAUGCAUGUUUUGGAAAAUAUCCAGAAAAGCAACUAUUCCUCAGGAGUAUGAAAAAUUGUCCUUAUCUUUGUAUAAUUCAGAUGCCUUUAUGGUCUGCAUUUUUUAAUGUAAUGGCCAGUCUUUAAAUAAAUUAGAUCAAUCAAUGUUGAUAUUUCUCGACUCCCUGCACC